rnacentral:rRNA from 1 species
GAUGAACGCUGGCGGCAUGCCUAAGACAUGCAAGUCGAACGAGGUGGCCCAAUGAAGUUGGAGUGCUUGCACAAAGAUGAAUUUGGAUUCUCCACCUAGUGGCAAACGGGUGAGUAACACGUGGGUUACCUACCUCUAAGCUGGGGAUAACAAUUGGAAACGGUUGAUAAUACCGAAUGUGCUCUACGGAGUAAAGAAGCCUUUAAAGCUUCACUUAGAGAUGGGCCUGCGGCGUAUUAGUUAGUUGGUGGGGUAAUGGCCUACCAAGACGACGAUGCGUAGCCGAACUGAGAGGUUGAUCGGCCACACUGGGACUGAGACACGGCCCAG